CUCGCAGGGGAGCCCCCGCGAUCGGUAGCCGACCGUUACACUCCACACCAGGAAUCAAGUCUUUCCGGAUGCCUCGGGACUUCCGAGCGCAUUCAGUCAGCAGCCGCUGCAACCCCAGGGAG
rnacentral:sRNA from 16 species